ACCCAGGCACGACCUACGGUACGGACGGAUCACCGUCCCGCCUGCGGGACCGACCUGGUGCCCGACCCUGAGGGA
rfam:Corynebacterium variabile DSM 44702, complete genome.